rnacentral:rRNA from 1 species
AGCCAUGCAUGCUUAACGAUAAGUUGGCGAACGGCUCAGUAAUGUUGCGAUGAUUUGGUCUUUUAAAAGAAAUAACCACGGUAAGCUGUGGCUAAAUAAAAAAGAAUAAGACGCAACCUUAUCAGCUUGUUGGUAGUGUAACGGACUACCAAGGCGAUGACGGGUACGGGAAAUGAUUGUUUUAUUCCGGAGAGGGAGCCUUAGAGAUGGCUCCCACGUCCAUGGACGGCAGCAGGCGCGAAAAUUGCCCACUCUUAUUGAGGAGGCAGUUAUGAGACGUGAAUAAGAAAUGAGAGUAAAGACCUUAUUUUCAAUAUUGGAGGGCAAGUUUGGUGCCAGCAGCCGCGGUAAUACCGACUCCAAGAGUGUCUACGAUGGAUGCUGCAGUUAAAAAGUCCGUAGUUGUUAAUGGAAUUAAAAGUCUUUUAUGUAUUAAAUAGGAUUAAAUUGUUAAAAGUAGCGAAACGGGUAGAGUAUUUUGUAUAAAUAGGCGAAGGAUGAAAUAUCAAGACCCUAUUUGGACAGACAGAGGCGAAAGCGAUAUACUUAAACGUAUUUAUGAAUCAAGGACGAAGGCUGGAGGAUCGAAAGUGAUUAGAUACCGCUGUAGUUCCAGCAGUAAACUAUGCCGACAAGAAGAUAAAAGGAGUUAUUCGUUUCUACCUUAUAUUUUCUGGGGGAAACCUUAGUUUUCGGGCUCUGGGGAAAGUACGCUCGCAAGGGUGAAACUUAAAUGAAAUU